rnacentral:rRNA from 1 species
ACGGGAGGCAGCAGUGGGGAAUAUUGCACAAUGGGCGAAAGCCUGAUGCAGCGACGCCGCGUGAGUGAAGAAGUAUUUCGGUAUGUAAAGCUCUAUCAGCAGGGAAGAAAAAUGACGGUACCUGACUAAGAAGCACCGGCUAAAUACGUGCCAGCAGCCGCGGUAAUACGUAUGGUGCAAGCGUUAUCCGGAUUUACUGGGUGUAAAGGGAGCGCAGGCGGUACGGCAAGUCUGAUGUGAAAGCCCGGGGCUCAACCCCGGUACUGCAUUGGAAACUGUCGAACUAGAGUGUAGGAGGGGUAAGCGGAAUUCCUAGUGUAGCGGUGAAAUGCGUAGAUAUUAGGAGGAACACCAGUGGCGAAGGCGGCUCACUGGACGAUAACUGACGCUGAGGCUCGAAAGCGUGGGGAGCAAACAGGAUUAGAUACCCUGGUA